rnacentral:lncRNA from 1 species
GGUUUGUUGAAAGAGUAACUGGAAAUCGAGUCGUAUGCAUAUGUUUCAUGUGUGGAGAAGGAACCCUCUAUCUAGCCUUUCACCAUUCUUUUUCAUCCAAAAUCGGUUUUGUUAAGUUUGUUUUCAAAGUUUCUGUUUUAACUUGUAAUUUCGUCAAAACCAACCCCCUUGCUUUUAAGUCUUGUUUUUAGAGUCAAAACCUGUUUUCUUUUGGUCUUUUGAGUCUUUUAAGUUCUAUUUUCGUCCAAAUCACUUAUUAGGUCUAGAAUUGAGUCUUUUUUAUUGUUUCUUGCUGUUUUGAGUGUUUUGAGUUAGUUUUGAGUCUAUAGAGUCUAGUUUAGUGUUUUUGAGUCUUAUUUGUGUUGAUUAGCAUCCCUAGUUAAUCCCCGGUCUAGAACGAUCCCUACUUGCUUAAAUACUACAAUUGUCAUCAAUAGGGUUUAAUUUGUGUGUCAACUUAAUUUUCACACCACUUACUUCCUCUAGGUCACUCAUUUCUUCAUCAAUCCUUCCUUGGUGUGGAGAUUUAGAGGUUCUCAACUUUGAGAACUUGGAGAAACCAAUUGUUCCGUCCAAAUCCAUGGAGCUAAGAAGCAAGGAAUGAAGGCCCUAUCUCUUGGGUGUUAUCCUUUGCUUAUGCAAAGAGGAAUCAACAAAGGUAUAAAUUUCUCAACUCACUUUGU